AUUGAACGCUGGCGGCAGGCCUAACACAUGCAAGUCGAACGAGUGGCGGACGGGUGAGUAAUGUCUGGGAAACUGCCUGAUGGAGGGGGAUAACUACUGGAAACGGUAGCUAAUACCGCAUACCAUCGGAUGUGCCCAGAUGGGAUUAGCUAGUAGGUGGGGUAAAGGCGCACCUCGGCGCCGAUCCCUAGCUGGUCUGAGAGGAUGACCAGCCACACUGGAACUGAGAAACGGUCCAGAGUCCUACGGGAGGCAGCAGUGGGGAAUAUUGCACAAUGGGCGAAAGCCUGAUGCAGCAAUGCGGGGUGUAUGAAGAAGGCCUUCGGGUGGGAAAGUACUUUCAGCGGGGAGGCGUUACCCGCAGAAGAAGCACCGGCUAACUCCGUGCCAGCAGCCGCGGUAAUC
rnacentral:rRNA from 1 species